UGGGGUGUCGCCAAGUGGUCAAGGCACGGGACUUUGACUCCCGCAUCGUAGGUUCAAAUCCUGCCACCCCAGCCA
rnacentral:tRNA from 1 species